CCCUUAGAUGUUCUGGGCCGCACGCGCGCUACACUGACAAAGUCAACGAGUAUUCUCCCUUGACCGGAAGGUCUGGGUAAUCUUGUGAAACUUUGUCGUGCUGGGGAUAGUUCAUUGCAAUUAUUGAUCUUAAACGAGGAAUUCCUAGUAAGCGUGAGUCAUCAGCUCGCGUUGAUUACGUCCCUGCCCUUUGUACACACCGCCCGUCGCUACUACCGAUUGAAUGGUUUAGUGAGGCCUCGGGACUGGAGCUCACGAGGUGGCGACACCACGUCUGCACCGGGAACUUGGACAAACUUGAUCAUUUAGAGGAAGUAAAANUCGUANCA
rnacentral:rRNA from 1 species